GAUGAACGCUGGCGGCGUGCCUAAUACAUGCAAGUCGAGCGAACAGACGAGGAGCUUGCUCCUCUGACGUUAGCGGCGGACGGGUGAGUAACACGUGGAUAACCUACCUAUAAGACUGGGAUAACUUCGGGAAACCGGAGCUAAUACCGGAUAAUAUAUUGAACCGCAUGGUUCAAUAGUGAAAGACGGUUUUGCUGUCACUUAUAGAUGGAUCCGCGCCGCAUUAGCUAGUUGGUAAGGUAACGGCUUACCAAGGCAACGAUGCGUAGCCGACCUGAGAGGGUGAUCGGCCACACUGGAACUGAGACACGGUCCAGACUCCUACGGGAGGCAGCAGUAGGGAAUCUUCCGCAAAGGGCGAAAGCCUGACGGAGCAACGCCGCGUGAGUGAUGAAGGUCUUCGGAUCGUAAAACUCUGUUAUUAGGGAAGAACAAAUGUGUCAGUAACUAUGCACGUCUUGACGGUACCUAAUCAGAAAGCCACGGCUAACUACGUG
rnacentral:rRNA from 1 species